GAACAAUUCACUACUUCUGGACAGCAAUCAUCAAAAUCAGCAGUCUGCUGAAGCAAUAUGCCUCCUAUGUUUUGAGUUCCUGCCUGAAGCUAGCAGAAGUCUUGACCCCAUUCCCCUGUCCAAGGACUUGACUUGGGACCUGGGCAUCUGGAGUGUCUGUUCCCGCAUCACCAACUAAGGGGAGAUAGUCUCACACUGACCGGACAUGCUCACAAAUUGUCUGCUGUUGACUGAAUUCCAUGAUGCUGGACCCGGCAGAAGAGAAACCUUCUGGCUGUAGCAAUUACAGAAACUAAUUAGACAUUUACACGCAAGCAUCUCCAUUGUGAUACCAAAUCUGACAGCAAGACUCCACAGAACCAAAAAAGUGAUUUCACAUAAUUGUACUAUGUGGCUGAUCGAAUCAUAACAUUUUGCAAGAUGAAGUACGAUAAAUGUUUUGAAGACUCUGGUCUGGUUCCACAUAAUGCAGAACAACAGUUCAUCAUAGUUCUGAAUGUCAGUCAUUAGUUUCAGGCUUCUGUGUAACCCUCCCAUUCAUGUGUGAGGGGAGGAAGGUUUAUAUGGUUUCUGUGUAAA